rnacentral:rRNA from 1 species
UACGUAGGUGGCAAGCGUUGUCCGGAUUUACUGGGCGUAAAGAGCGCGCAGGCGGUCGUUCAAGUCGCGUGUGAAAGCCCCCGGCUCAACUGGGGAGGGUCACGCGAUACUGAUCGACUCGAAGGCAGGAGAGGGUAGUGGAAUUCCCGGUGUAGUGGUGAAAUGUGUAGAGAUCGGGAGGAACACCGGUGGCGAAGGCGGGUCUCUGGGCAUCUCCUGACGCUGAGGCGCGAAAGCGCGGGGAGCGAACGGG